UGUUAAAAAUUUCAUCUAUUUUAUACCGCUAAAAUUUAACUUGAUUGACAAAAUAACAAGACAAUGACACUUAACAUGCCACGUAUUGCUCAUGCUGACAAUAAUCAAUUUUUAACAGUAAAAAUAGAUGAAAUAUUUAACA
rfam:Gossypium raimondii Chr10_contig_1376, whole genome shotgun sequence.